UUUAAUUAUGAUUAACAUAAUAUUGAAUUUUUACUUAUAAAGUGAUUAAACACAUUUUUCAGUUUGUUACAUGAAAACAUGAAAAAAAAUAUGGCUCAACUUUUCAUGUCUCCUUAUGUUUUGAUUUUCAUUAUUUCUUUGUUUUUUACUUUAAUGAAUGGAGAAACAACGCCGCAUAAUCCAUUUUAUUGCGUAACUAUGGCAGAUUGUGCUUACAAGACGUGCCCUGAUUAUUUGGACCCAAAGUGCAUUCAUUAUAGGUGUCAAUGCAUAUAAUUUUGUCUUCAUGUCAUGAUGUUGGUAUUUUUUUAAUAAUAUUUUAUAUUUUCUUUUA